UGUGGGAGUGAUGAGUUGCACUAAUCAGCUGGGGUGGYGAGUUGACUGCCUCAAUCUGAUCCGACCUGAGGAUGCACAGUGUGCACAGGGGCCAUCUGACUCAAC
rnacentral:snoRNA from 1 species